rnacentral:rRNA from 1 species
UUGGACGGUCAUAGCGGACUGGUCACACCCGAUCCCAUUUCGAACUCGGAAGUUAAGCAGUCCCACGUUCCAUGUUGUACUGUACUCAUGUACGGGAAUCAUGGUUCGCUGUCCACU